UUCAGAGCUAAGAAACUACAAAUAAGUACCACAAUAAGAUGCUGGUGAUUUGGUGGAGUGAUUUUACCUAACAAGUGCAUUCCUUCUUCAAGGGAACAGAUGAAACCUCCUCCAGCUUGGAAAAGGAUUAAAACAAUAAUAACGUGAAGGUAGAAGAGAUCUUUCAGCAGCUAUUGCAAAAUGCAUUAUCACAGAAGAAAGGGACAUAUUGUUUCCAUAAAGGCUGGGACUGAAAGGGGAUGAAGGCCUUUAAUGCUGAAAAUGCAGUUUACAGGCAGAUAGAAUAAAUU
rnacentral:lncRNA from 1 species